rnacentral:rRNA from 1 species
ACUGAACGCUGGCGGCAGGCUUAACACAUGCAAGUCGAGCGGGGUGAUGGUGCUUGCACUAUCACUUAGCGGCGGACGGGUGAGUAAUGCUUAGGAAUCUGCCUAUUAGUGGGGGACAACAUCUCGAAAGGGAUGCUAAUACCGCAUACGUCCUACGGGAGAGAGCAGGGGAUCACUUGUGACCUUGCGCUAAUAGAUGAGCCUAAGUCGGAUUAGCUAGUUGGUGGGGUAAAGGCCUACCAAGGCGACGAUCUGUAGCGGGUCUGAGAGGAUGAUCCGCCACACUGGGACUGAGACACGGCCCAGACUCCUACGGGAGGCAGCAGUGGGGAAUAUUGGACAAUGGGGGGAACCCUGAUCCAGCCAUGCCGCGUGUGUGAAGAAGGCCUUAUGGUUGUAAAGCACUUUAAGCGAGGAGGAGGCUCUUUUGGUUAAUACCCAAGAUGAGUGGACGUUACUCGCAGAAUAAGCACCGGCUAACUCUGUGCCAGCAGCCGCCGUAA